rnacentral:rRNA from 1 species
GAUGAACGCUGGCGGCAGGCCUAACACAUGCAAGUCGGACGGUAGCACAGGGGAGCUUGCUCCUCGGGUGACGAGUGGCGGACGGGUGAGUAGUGUCUGGGGAUCUGCCCGAUAGAGGGGGAUGACCACUGGAAACGGUGGCUAAUACCGCAUAAUGUCGCAAGACCAAAGAGGGGGACCUUCGGGCCUCUCACUAUCGGAUGAACCCAGAUGGGCGUAGCUAGUAGGCGGGGUAACGGCCCACCUAGGCGACGAUCCCUAGCUGGUCUGAGAGGAUGACCGGCCACACUGGAACGGAGACACGGUCCAGACUCCUACGGGAGGCAGCAGUGGGGAAUAUUGCACAAUGGGCGCAAGCCUGAUGCAGCCAUGCCGCGUGUAUGAAGAAGGCCUUCGGGUUGUAAAGUACUUUCAGCGGGGAGGAAGGCGAUGUGGUUAAUAACCGCGUCGAUUGACGUUACCCGCAGAAGAAGCACCGGCUAACUCCGUGCCAGCCGCCGCAGUAA